AUACGAAAGUUGCAAGCGUUGUUCGGAUUUACUGGGCGUAAAGAGAGUGUAGGUGGUUUAUUAAGUCGGAUGUGAAAUCCCGGGGCUCAACCUCGGAACUGCAUUCGAUACUGAUAGGCUAGAGUUUGGGAGGGGUAAGCGGAAUUCCGUGUGUAGCAGUGAAAUGCGUAGAUAUACGGAGGAACACCUGAGGCGAAGGCGGCUUACUGGACCAAUACUGACACUGAGACUCGAAAGCGUGGGUAGCAAACGGGAUUAGAAACCCCAGUAGUCC
rnacentral:rRNA from 1 species